GGUGAACGCUAGCGGUGCGCCUAACACAUGCAAGUCGAGCGGUAGAAGAGAUUUAGCUUGCUAAAUCUCUUUGAGAGCGGCGAACGGGUGAGUAACACGUUGGUACCUGCCCCUAAGUCAGGGAUAGCCAUUGGAAACGAUGAUUAAUACCGGAUGUGCUCUUCGGAGUAAAGAUUUAUCGCUUAGGGAGGGGCCUGCGUUCUAUCAGCUAGUUGGUGAGGUAAUAGCUCACCAAGGCUAUGACGGAUAACUGGUCUGAGAGGAUGAUCAGUCACAAUGGAACUGAGACACGGUCCAUACUCCUACGGAGGCAGCAGUGAGGAAUCUUCCACAAUGGACGAAAGUCUGAUGGAGCGACACCGCGUGAAGGAUGAAGGCCUAACGGUUGUAAACUUC
rnacentral:rRNA from 1 species